CAAGUCGAGCGAGGAAACAGAUAGCAAUAUUUGUUAUUCGAGCGGCGUAAGGGGCAGUAAUACCUGGGAACGUACCCUGAGGUCGGGGAUAGCUGCUAGAAACGGCGAGUAAUACCCGAUGAUCUCGGAAGAGCAAAGGCUUGCCGCCUUCGGAGCGGCCCAGGCGAUAUUAGCUAGUUGGUGGGGUAACGGCCUACCAAGGCAUAGAUGUCUAGCGGGUGUGAGAGCACGACCCGCGCCACUGGCACUGAGACACUGGCCAGACACCUACGGGUGGCUGCAGUCGAGAAUCUUCGGCAAUGAGCGCAAGCUUGACCGAGCGACGCCGCGUGCGGGAUGAAGGCCUUCGGGUUGUAAACCGCUUUGGUCCGAGAGAAAGGGCAACUUGAUCGAUCGGAGAAACAAGGACGGGCUAAGUUCGUGCCAGCAGCCGCGGUAAGACGAACCGUCCAAACGUUAUUCGGAAUCACUGGGCUUAAAGGGCGCGUAGGCGGCCGAGCGGGUCACGGGUGAAAUCCUCCAGCUUAACUGGAGAACUGCCCUUGAUACCACUGCGGCUCGAGGAAGGAAGGGGCAAUCGGAACUGUCGGUGGAGCGGUGAAAUGCGUUGAUAUCGACAGGAACGCCGGUGGCGAAAGCGGAUUGCUGGUCCUUUUCUGACGCUGAGGCGCGAAAGCCAGGGGAGCAAACGGGAUUAGAUACCCCGGUAGUCCUGGCCUUAAACGAUGAGAACUAGGUAGUGGGUCCGACCUGGGCACACUGCCGAAGCGAAAGUCUUAAGUUCUCCGCCUGGGGAGUAUGGUCGCAAGGCUGAAACUCAAGGAAUUUGACGGGGG
rnacentral:rRNA from 1 species